UUAUAAGCAAUGAAAGGAAACAGUAGUGUCUUAUCUCCCUGUUUAAGAGAGCUGAUGGUUAGUGUGAAUCAGUACAAAGAUAAGCAUGAAUUACACCCUGGAGCUUCUUUUUCUAGUAGAGAAAUAUUUAUGAAGAAAAAGACGGUCAUUUGAUCGUUAACACUAACAAGAGGUGGACAGAUCUGUUCACAAUAAGGGUGGUACCACGGUGAAAAUCGUCCCUGUC
rnacentral:ncRNA from 1 species